AAUUGCCAAAUUUUUUUUAGGGCAAAUCUCCAAAAUAGCACAUUUCUAAGUUUAUAUCAUAAAAAUAGCACUCAAAAACUAAAAUGACCAAAAUAGCACCUUUCUAAGUUUAUACUUUGAAAAUUUUAAUUUUUUUAUUUUCCAAAAUUUGAAAUCUUAUCCCCAAAACCUCAUUUCUCAACUCUAAACCCUAAACCCUAAACUCUAAACCCUAAACCAUAAACCCUAAACCAUAAACUCUAAACCCUAAACCCUAAACCCUAAACCCUAAACCCUAAAAUC
rnacentral:lncRNA from 1 species